rnacentral:rRNA from 1 species
UACGUAGGGUGCAAGCGUUGUCCGGAAUUAUUGGGCGUAAAGAGCUCGUAGGCGGUUUGUCGCGUCGAAUGUGAAAACCCGGGGCUCAACCCCGGGCCUGCAUUCGAUACGGGCAGACUAGAGUGUUGCAGGGGAGACUGGAAUUCCUGGUGUAGCGGUGAAAUGCGCAGAUAUCAGGAGGAACACCGGUGGCGAAGGCGGGUCUCUGGGCAACAACUGACGCUGAGGAGCGAAAGCGUGGGGAGCGAACAGG